rnacentral:rRNA from 1 species
GAUGAACGCUAGCUACAGGCUUAACACAUGCAAGUCGAGGGGUAACGAAGAGGAAAGCUUGCUUUUCUUGUUGACGACCGGCGCACGGGUGAGUAACGCGUAUCCGACCUACCUAUAACUAGGGAAUAACCUUGCGAAAGUAAGACUAAUACCCUAUGAUUUCCUUUGAUGGCAUCAGAUUAGGAAUAAAGAUUUAUCGGUUAUAGAUGGGGAUGCGUCUGAUUAGCUUGUUGGCGGGGUAACGGCCCACCAAGGCAACGAUCAGUAGGGGUUCUGAGAGGAAGGUCCCCCACGAUUGGAACUGAGACACGGUCCAA